UACGUAGGGACCAAGCGUUGUUCGGAUUUAUUGGGCGUAAAGAGCGUGUAGGCGGUCAGGUAGGUCCGUUGUGAAAACUCGAGGCUCAACCUCGAGACGCCGAUGGAAACCAUCUGACUAGAGUCCGGAAGAGGAGAGUGGAAUUCCUGGUGUAGCGGUGAAAUGCGCAGAUAUCAGGAGGAACACCGGUGGCGAAGGCGGAUCUCUGGGCCUUACCUGACGCUCAGGUGCGAAAGCGUGGGGAUCAAACAGG
rnacentral:rRNA from 1 species